rnacentral:rRNA from 1 species
GACGUAGGGCGCGAGCGUUGUCCGGAUUUAUUGGGCGUAAAGAGCUCGUAGGCGGCUUGUCGCGUUGUCCGUGAAAACUCACAACUCAAUUGUGGGCGUGCGGGCGAUACGGGCAGACUGGAGUACUGCAGGGGAGACUGGAAUUCCUGGUGUAGCGGUGGAAUGCGCAGAUAUCAGGAAGAACACCUAUGGCGAAGGCAGCUCUCUGGGACGGUACUGACGCUGAGACGCGAAAGCGUGGGGAGCGAAACAGG